rnacentral:rRNA from 1 species
CAGUAGCCGCGGUAAUACGAAGGGUGCAAGCGUUAAUCGGAAUUACUGGGCGUAAAGCGUGCGUAGGCGGUGAGUUAAGUCUGCUGUGAAAUCCCCGGGCUCAACCUGGGAAUGGCAGUGGAUACUGGCUCGCUAGAGUGUGUCAGAGGAUGGUGGAAUUCCCGGUGUAGCGGUGAAAUGCGUAGAGAUCGGGAGGAACAUCAGUGGCGAAGGCGACUAUCUGGGCCAACACUGACACUGAGGCACGAAAGCGUGGGGAGCAAACAGGAUUAGAUACCCCCGUAGUCCCUGUCUCUUAUAA